ACGGAGGGUGCAAGCGUUAUCCGGAAUCAUUGGGUUUAAAGGGUCCGCAGGCGGGAUUAUAAGUCAGUGGUGAAAUCUCAUAGCUUAACUAUGAAACUGCCAUUGAUACUGUAGUUCUUGAAUUCGGUCGAAGUGGGCGGAAUAUGACAUGUAGCGGUGAAAUGCAUAGAUAUGUCAUAGAACACCGAUAGCGAAGGCAGCUCACUAGGCCUGGAUUGACGCUCAGGGACGAAAGCGUGGGGAGCAAACAGGAUUAGAUACCCUGGUAGUCCACGCCGUAAACUAUGAUUACUCGUUUUCAGCGAUAUACAGUUGGAGACUAAGCGAAAGUGAUAAGUAAUCCACCUGGGGAGUACGAUCGCAAGGUUG
rnacentral:rRNA from 1 species